rnacentral:rRNA from 1 species
UAUGUACUUGUUAAGCCUUUAAGAAAGAAGUUUAUAACUUAAGGAAUUAUAACAAAGAAGUAACACAUAAUAAGGUUGCCUUAUUUAGUGUGUAUCAAUCGAGUUUCUGACCUAUCAGCUUUUGAUGUUAGGGUAUUGGCCUAACAUGGCUAUGACGGGUAACGGGGAAUUAGAGUUCGAUUCCGGAGAGGGAGCCUGAGAAAUAGCUACCACAUCUAAGGAAGGCAGCAGGCGCGUAAAUUACCCAAUUCUAAAGAAGAGAGGUAGUGACAAGAAAUAACAAUACAAGGCCAUUUCAUGGUUUUGUAAUUGGAAUGAUGGGAAUUUAAAACCUUCCCAAAAUUCAAUUGGAGGGCAAGUCUGGUGCCAGCAGCCGCGGUAAUUCCAGCUCCAAUAGCGUAUAUUAAAAUUGUUGCAGUUAAAACGCUCGUAGUUGAAUUUCAAAGAAUCAAUAUUUUAAGUAAUAAUUUUGCUAUAAGAUGCUUAGACAAUACAACGUAUCUGUUCUUUGCAUUCCUUAUGCAAAAUGUGUUCUUAUUAUAAAAAGGAUUCUUUUUAAAAUCUCUUUUGCUAUUUUUUAGUAUUGGAGAUUUUGUUACUUUGAGUAAAUUAGAGUGUUCAAAGCAAACAGUUAAAGCAUUUUUACUGCGUUUGAAUACUACA